rnacentral:rRNA from 1 species
UACGGAGGAUGCAAGCGUUAUCCGGAAUGAUUGGGCGUAAAGCGUCCGCAGGUGGCAAUGUAAGUCUGCUGUUAAAGAGUGAGGCUCAACCUCAUAAGAGCAGUGGAAACUACAUAGCUAGAGUGCGUUCGGGGCAAAGGGAAUUCCUGGUGUAGCGGUGAAAUGCGUAGAGAUCGGAAAGAACACCAACGGCGAAAGCACUCUGCUGGGCCGACACUGACACUGAGAGACGAAAGCUAGGGGAGCGAAUGGG